rnacentral:rRNA from 1 species
GCAUUGUAAUUAUUGCUCUUCAACGAGGAAUUCCUAGUAAGCGCAAGUCAUCAGCUUGCGUUGAUUACGUCCCUGCCCUUUGUACACACCGCCCGUCGCUAGUACCGAUUGAAUGGCUUAGUGAGGCCUCAGGAUCUGCUUAGAGAAGGGGGCAACUCCAUCUCAGAGCGGAGAAUUUGGACAAACUUGGUCAUUUAGAGGAACUAAAAGUCGUAACAAGGUUUC